CAAAAUCUAGUAUAUAGAUGGUGACUUAGGGAUGGUGGUUGAUGGGUAAAAUGAUGAAUUACCUGAGUUUAAAUCUGAAACGACUUGGGAGAAAUAAGGCAGCGUUGGCUAAGAAAAAUAGCAAUGCAGCUGAGUCAACUGAAUGUGAAGAUUGUAAGAUGCUAUCUAUUUCUGAACCUUUGACCACAUCAACUGUACAACUUAACCCAAAGUCAUUUUGGGCGAAUACUUAUGAAGUAAAAAUGUUCAUGAAAGACUACCUUUGUCUUCAUGACCACAAUUUGAGCACAAUUUGUUAUUGUGGAAAUUAGAGAGGAUAUG
rnacentral:lncRNA from 1 species